rnacentral:tRNA from 1 species
CGCGGGGUGGAGAAGUAGUAUCUCGGGAGGCUCAUAACCUCCAGGCGGCGGUGCAAUUCCGCCCCCCGCUA